AAUAAUCCCAACUAGCAGCAUGCAUUCAACAUGUAACAGUAAACACCAAAUGGCCUCCGGCCUCACAAAUAAAACCUUACAUGGGCAUUAACAGACAUCUACUGAAUUUAGUUUACAAGAACAACCAGUUGAGUAGAAAGAAAUUACUCAAAGUCUAAUCUACUGAUGAUCACGAUUCGGGGUCUCGAACACGGCUUGCAAU
rnacentral:lncRNA from 1 species